rnacentral:rRNA from 1 species
GAGUUUGAUUCUGGCUACAGAACGAACGCUGGCGGCGCGUCUUAAGCAUGCAAGUCGAACGGCAAGAGGUAGCAAUACCUCCUAGAGUGGCGGACUGGUGAGUAACACGUGGGUGACAUACCCUUCAGAUGGGGAUAGCUAUUAGAAAUAGUAGAUAAUACCGAAUACGAGCACAGGGGUUAGAGAUCUGUGAGGAAAGGAGCUAAGGCUCCGCUGAAGGAAUGGCCUGCGGCCCAUUAGCUAGUUGGUGAGGUAAGAGCCCACCAAGGCGAUGAUGGGUAUCCGGCCUUAGAGGGUGAACGGACACAUUGGGACUGAGAUACGGCCCAGACUCCUACGGGAGGCAGCAGCUAAGAAUAUUCCGCAAUGGACGAAAGUCUGACGGAGCGACGCCGCGUGGAUGAAGAAGGCCGGAAGGUUGUAAAAAUCCUUUUGAAACUGAAGAAUAAGCGUUGUAGGGAAUGACAGCGUGGUGACAGUAGGUUUUGAAUAAGCAACGGCUAAUUACGUGCCAGCCGCAGC